rnacentral:rRNA from 1 species
AUACGUAGGGGGCGAGCGUUGUCCGGAAUGAUUGGGCGUAAAGGGCGCGUAGGCGGCGCGGUAAGUCUGGAGUGAAAGUCCUGCUUUCAAGGUGGGAAUUGCUUUGGAUACUGCCGCGCUUGAGUGCAGGAGAGGUUAUCGGAAUUCCCGGUGUAGCGGUGAAAUGCGUAGAGAUCGGGAGGAACGCCAGUGGCGAAGGCGGGUAACUGGACUGCAACUGACGCUGAGGCGCGAAAGUGUGGGGAGCAAACAGGAUUAGAUACCCUGGUAGUCCACACUGUAAACGAUGAAUGCUAGGUGUAAGAGGUAUCGACCCCUUUUGUGCCGGAGUCAACACAAUAAGCAUUCCGCCUGGGGAGUACGGCCGCAAGGUUGAAACUCAAAGGAAUUGACGGGG